rnacentral:rRNA from 1 species
UGGGGAAUAUUGGACAAUGGGCGCAAGCCUGAUCCAGCCAUGCCGCGUGAGUGAAGAAGGCCUUAGGGUUGUAAAACUCUUUCACCCGUGAAGAUGAUGACGGUAGCGGGAGAAGAAGCCCCGGCUAACUCCGUGCCAGCAGCCGCGGUAAUACGGAGGGGGCAAGCGUUGUUCGGAUUUACUGGGCGUAAAGGGCGCGUAGGCGGGCGAUCAAGUCAGAGGUGAAAGGCCUGGGCUCAACCUAGGAACUGCCUUUGAAACUGAUCAUCUUGAGUCCGGGAGAGGAUGGCGGAAUUCCCAGUGUAGAGGUGAAAUUCGUAGAUAUUGGGAAGAACACCGGUGGCGAAGGCGGCCAUCUGGACCGGCACUGACGCUGAGGCGCGAAAGCGUGGGGAGCAAACAGGAUUAGAUACCCCCGUAGUCC